AAUAUUUGAUACGACACGAUUACACGACACGGAGUUAAACGGGUUUGGGUUGGGUAUUUUUGAUAUUCGAGUUAAACGGGUCCAACCCGUUUAGACACGAUUAAUAAACGUGUCUUAGCGGGUUGAACCCGUGUAACCCGAUUAUACACGAUUAAACUUGUUUAUUUAACCGUAUUUAAUCGUGUUACUGUAAUCGUGUAACCCAUUAAUCCGUGUAUCUAACUGAAUUUACGAAAAUAUCCUUAGGUUAACCCUAAUUUCGAAAUUUCCAUUGGCAGUAGCCGCAGUACCCGAUUUCAACUUUCAAUCUUUCACACGCCCCCCUUCAUCCUUCAUCUUCACAAGUCGAAGUCGAUUUCCCUCCUGCUUCCACGGUUCCACCCGAUUUCCUUCGAAAUUUGGAUCCUUGAGUUGAAUUCUUGCAGAUCCAGCCUCCACCUGAGUCAAGGACGACUUCGAUCGUCUUCACAGUCCAGUCAAAGAUCUCUCGUCUUCGUUGCCUUUUGGCCGGAGGAGAACCUCACUGGAAGUAUCCUUCCCCUUCCGUCGUCGGAGCUUCGAUUGGAUCUCGAUCGGACACGGUUUCCACUCUGAUCCUCUCCGUCACAUUCCUCAUCAUCAACAUACUCCUCUUCGCAUCCACCUUCUAGUAUCAGAUGUACAAGAGCGAGAGCAACGGUGAAGGUGAGAGGCGUGAUUCAAUUGACAUCUCCUGGAGGAAACUGACGUUCCAUACGAUGAAGAGGAAAAAGUGUCGGAUGAAGAGUCUAAAGGAGAAUCAGAAGACAGUUCAUUUUUUAGUCUCGUUCAUUACAGCUUUUCAUUUGAUGUCGUAAGCAAGACAGUUCAUUUACUGGGUUGAAUUUAUGAACUGAUGAAUUCAUUUUUGAGUCUCGUUCUUUGACAUUGAUGGCGGAACUCCUUAAUGAUUAAGUUGCCAGUGGAAUUGUCAAUGAACAUGUCGUGUUUGCAUAA